rnacentral:snRNA from 1 species
UUGGAAUGAACAUGAUGCAU